rnacentral:rRNA from 1 species
GACGAACGCUGGCGGCGUGCUUAACACAUGCAAGUCGAGCGGUAAGGCCCUUUCGGGGGUACACGAGCGGCGAACGGGUGAGUAACACGUGGGUGACCUGCCCUCAGCUCUGGGAUAAGCCUGGGAAACUGGGUCUAAUACUGGAUAUGACUCCACGGUGCAUGUCGUGGGGUGGAAAGCCUUGUGCGGCUGAGGAUGGGCCCGCGGCCUAUCAGCUUGUUGGUGGGGUGANGGCCUACCAAGGCGACGACGGGUAGCCGGCCUGAGAGGGCGACCGGCCACACUGGGACUGAGACACGGCCCAGACUCCUACGGGAGGCAGCAGGUGGGGAAUCUUGCGCAAGUGGGCGAAAGCCUGACGCAGCGACGCCGCGUGA